ACAACGGCUGAUCCUAAAUGCAUUAGCCGGCUCUAAUGGAAGACUUGGUUCUUACUCGGUGUGAUAAUUAUCUUACGCUGAGGACAUUCCUGUAAAAGGGGAUGGCCAGGACUAUCAUUAGGCUGCUUCUAAUCGUCUCUUCUGACAAAAUAAUAUUCUAAUCUGACCUCGAAUCAGGUGGGACUACCCGCUGAACUUAA
rnacentral:misc_RNA from 1 species